GAUGAACGCUGGCGGCGUGCUUAACACAUGCAAGUCGAACGGAAAGGCUCCUGCUUGCAGGGGUACUCGAGUGGCGAACGGGUGAGUAACACGUGGGUGAUCUGCCCUGCACUUCGGGGUAAGCCUGGGAAACUGGGUCUAAUACCGGAUAGGACGAUGGUUUGGAUUCCAUUGUGGAAAGUUUUUCGGUUUGGGAUGAGCUCGCGGCCUAUCAGCUUGUUGGUGGGGUAAUGGCCUACCAAGGCGUCGACGGGUAGCCGGCCUGAGAGGGUGUACGGCCACAUUGGGACUGAGAUACGGCCCAGACUCCUACGGGAGGCAGCAGUGGGGAAUAUUGCACAAUGGGCGCAAGCCUGAUGCAGCGACGCCGCGUGGGGGAUGACGGCCUUCGGGUUGUAAACUCCUUUCGCUAGGGACGAAGCGCAAGUGACGGUACCUGGAGAGGAAGCACCGGCUAACUACGUG
rnacentral:rRNA from 1 species